AAUAGAUACCCCGGUAGUCCACGCCGUAAACGAUGAGUGCUAAGUGUUAGAGGGUUUCCGCCCUUUAGUGCUGCAGCUAACGCAUUAAGCACUCCGCCUGGGGAGUACGGCCGCAAGGCUGAAACUCAAAGGAAUUGACGGGGGCCCGCACAAGCGGUGGAGCAUGUGGUUUAAUUCGAAGCAACGCGAAGAACCUUACCAGGUCUUGACAUCCUCUGCUAACCCUAGAGAUAGGGCGUUCCCCUUCGGGGGACAGAGUGACAGGUGGUGCAUGGUUGUCGUCAGCUCGUGUCGUGAGAUGUUGGGUUAAGUCCCGCAACGAGCGCAACCCUUGAUCUUAGUUGCCAGCAUUCAGUUGGGCACUCUAAGGUGACUGCCGGUGACAAACCGGAGGAAGGUGGGGAUGACGUCAAAUCAUCAUGCCCCUUAUGACCUGGGCUACACACGUGCUACAAUGGAUGGUACAAAGAGCUGCGAACCCGCGAGGGUAAGCCAAUCUCAUAAAGCCAUUCUCAGUUCGGAUUGUAGG
rnacentral:rRNA from 1 species